ACGCCAAGAUCUUCUUUUAAGCUUAUUUACCGCAUUGAUAUAUUUAUUCUUCUCUGUUAGAACUUGCAAUAUGGCAGUCUAGGCGAAUUCAUACAAAGUGAUAGAACAGCAUAUUUGUUUAUUUUUGUUACAAUUUGGUGGUUUGAAUGUCAAAGUUAUCUGUUUUUUUCUGUUGUUAUUUUGUUUGUGUGUUUGCAUACCGCUAUUACCUUGCAUGAAUUCGCUUUUAUGAUAAUCUUACAUUUUUGCUUUAGAAGUAGAAACGACCACUAGUCAAAGCUUGAACAUAUUCCGUAUACAUACAUAUAUGUAAUAAUGUGGAGCUAUUAUCGGGUUGCAGAUAGACACUUUUUUAUUCAGAGAUUUGGAGCGCCUCACAGUUGCCAAACACGUAACGGAUGGCCAUUGUUUGUUAUAGAAAAAUAUGCUGUGAUUUAUUUAAUAACUACGAAUUGCCUUCUGGUUGGAAUCAAUUAAACGUUUGUUAAAAUAUGGCAUACAAUUUCUAUAUAUUAAUGGAAAUCGCACGACUCAAAUGUUUUGAAUGCAUAUAACUUUUUGCGCCAACAACCAAACCUGUGAGACUAAUUAAUUUAAGCCUACAUUUGAUUCCGGGAUGGGACACUAAAGACCGAGAACUAUCGAACUGUAAAAUGAAAUAAAAUAUUGUAUAGUAUAAGUGAUAAUGCCACAAUUUUUUGUAUCAUAUUUGUAAAAUAAAAUGUCGGGCGAAUAGCUCAUCCUUGUAA